rnacentral:rRNA from 1 species
GGAUUAGUGGCGAACGGGUGAGUAACACGUGAGUAACCUGCCCUUAACUCUGGGAUAAGCCUGGGAAACUGGGUCUAAUACCGGAUAUGACUCCUCAUCGCAUGGUGGGGGGUGGAAAGCUUUAUUGUGGUUUUGGAUGGACUCGCGGCCUAUCAGCUUGUUGGUGAGGUAAUGGCUCACCAAGGCGACGACGGGUAGCCGGCCUGAGAGGGUGACCGGCCACACUGGGACUGAGACACGGCCCAGACUCCUACGGGAGGCAGCAGUGGGGAAUAUUGCACAAUGGGCGAAAGCCUGAUGCAGCGACGCCGCGUGAGGGAUGACGGCCUUCGGGUUGUAAACCUCUUUCAGUAGGGAAGAAGCGAAAGUGACGGUACCUGCAGAAGAAGCGCCGGCUAACUACGUGCCAGCAGCCGCGGUAAUACGUAGGGCGCAAGCGUUAUCCGGAAUUAUUGGGCGUAAAGAGCUCGUAGGCGGUUUGUCGCGUCUGCCGUGAAAGUCCGGGGCUCAACUCCGGAUCUGCGGUGGGUACGGGCAGACUAGAGUGAUGUAGGGGAGACUGGAAUUCCUGGUGUAGCGGUGAAAUGCGCAGAUAUCAGGAGGAACACCGAUGGCGAAGGCAGGUCUCUGGGCAUUAACUGACGCUGAGGAGCGAAAGCAUGGGGAGCGAACAGGAUUAGAUACCCUGGUAGUCCAUGCCGUAAACGUUGGGCACUAGGUGUGGGGGACAUUCCACGUUUUCCGCGCCGUAGCUAACGCAUUAAGUGCCCCGCCUGGGGAGUACGGCCGCAAGGCUAAAACUCAAAGGAAUUGACGGGGGCCCGCACAAGCGGCGGAGCAUGCGGAUUAAUUCGAUGCAACGCGAAGAACCUUACCAAGGCUUGACAUGAACCGGAAAUACCUGGAAACAGGUGCCCCGCUUGCGGUCGGUUUACAGGUGGUGCAUGGUUGUCGUCAGCUCGUGUCGUGAGAUGUUGGGUUAAGUCCCGCAACGAGCGCAACCCUCGUUCUAUGUUGCCAGCGCGUUAUGGCGGGGACUCAUAGGAGACUGCCGGGGUCAACUCGGAGGAAGGUGGGGACGACGUCAAAUCAUCAUGCCCCUUAUGUCUUGGGCUUCACGCAUGCUACAAUGGCCGGUACAAAGGGUUGCGAUACUGUGAGGUGGAGCUAAUCCCAAAAAGCCGGUCUCAGUUCGGAUUGGGGUCUGCAACUCGACCCCAUGAAGUCGGAGUCGCUAGUAAUCGCAGAUCAGCAACGCUGCGGUGAAUACGUUCCCGGGCCUUGUACACACCGCCCGUCAAGUCAC